UACGUAGGGUGCGAGCGUUGUCCGGAAUUAUUGGGCGUAAAGAGCUUGUAGGCGGUUUGUCGCGUCUGCCGUGAAAUUUCGAGGCUCAACCUCGAACUUGCGGUGGGUACGGGCAGACUAGAGUGCGGUAGGGGAGACUGGAAUUCCUGGUGUAGCGGUGAAAUGCGCAGAUAUCAGGAGGAACACCGGUGGCGAAGGCGGGUCUCUGGGCCGUAACUGACGCUGAGGAGCGAAAGCGUGGGGAGCGAACAGG
rnacentral:rRNA from 1 species